AGCGAACGCUAGCGGCGGGCCUAACACAUGCAAGUCGAGCGGAGGGCUUCGGCUCUCAGCGGCGAACGGGUGAGUAACACGUAGGUGACGUACCUUCUGGUGGGGAAUAACUGGGGGAAACCCUAGCUAAUACCGCAUAUGCUCGCAAGAGUAAAAGCCCUCGGGCGCCAGUAGAUCGGCCUGCGGCCCAUUAUUUAGUCCUAGUUGGUAGGGUAACGGCCUACCAAGGGUACGAUGGGUAGCUGAUCUGAGAGGAUGAUCAGCCACAUUGGGACUGAGACACGGCCCAAACUCCUACGGGAGGCAGCAGUGGGGAAUAUUGGACAAUGGGCGAAAGCCUGAUCCAGCCACGCCGCGUGAGUGAUGAAGGCCUCGGUUGUAAAGCUCUGUCGUAGGGGACGAAAGGGGAAACCGUUUAGUACGGUACCUUACGAGGAAGCACCGGCGUAACUCCGUGCCAGCAGCCGCGGUAAU
rnacentral:rRNA from 1 species